rnacentral:rRNA from 1 species
AUUGAACGCUGGCGGCAUGCUUUACACAUGCAAGUCGAACGGUAACAGGCCGCAAGGUGCUGACGAGUGGCGAACGGGUGAGUAAUGCAUCGGAACGUGCCCAGUCGUGGGGGAUAACGUAGUGAAAAUUACGCUAAUACCGCAUACGAUCUAUGGAUGAAAGCGGGGGAUCGCAAGACCUCGCGCGAUUGGAGCGGCCGAUAUCAGAUUAGGUAGUUGGUGGGGUAAAGGCCCACCAAGCCAACGAUCUGUAGCUGGUCUGAGAGGACGACCAGCCACACUGGAACUGAGACACGGUCCAGACUCCUACGGGAGGCAGCAGUGGGGAAUUUUGGACAAUGGGCGAAAGCCUGAUCCAGCCAUUCCGCGUGCAGGAUGAAGGCCCUCGGGUUGUAAACUGCUUUUGUACAGAACGAAAAGGUUUCUACUAAUACUAGGAGCUCAUGACGGUACUGUAAGAAUAAGCACCGGCUAACUACGUGCCAGCAGCCGCCGUAA